GCCUGCAGCUUGCUGCGGGUACUCGAGUGGCGAACGGGUGAGUAACACGUGGGUGAUCUGCCUUGCACUUCGGGAUAAGCUUGGGAAACUGGGUCUAAUACCGGAUAGGACAGCUGUUUAGUGUCAGUUGUGGAAAGUUUUUUCGGUGCAAGAUGAGCUCGCGGCCUGUCAGCUUGUUGGUGGGGUAAUGGCCUACCAAGGCGUCGACGGGUAGCCGGCCUGAGAGGGUGUACGGCCACAUUGGGACUGAGAUACGGCCCAGACUCCUACGGGAGGCAGCAGUGGGGAAUAUUGCACAAUGGGCGGAAGCCUGAUGCAGCGACGCCGCGUGGGGGAUGAAGGCCUUCGGGUUGUAAACUCCUUUCGACAGGGACGAAGCGUAAGUGACGGUACCUGUAUAAGAAGCACCGGCUAACUACGUGCCAGCAGCCGCGGUAAUACGUAGGGUGCGAGCGUUGUCCGGAAUUACUGGGCGUAAAGAGCUCGUAGGUGGUUUGUCGCGUCGUCUGUGAAAUUCCGGGGCUUAACUCCGGGCGUGCAGGCGAUACGGGCUGACUUGAGUGCUGUAGGGGAGACUGGAAUUCCUGGUGUAGCGGUGAAAUGCGCAGAUAUCAGGAGGAACACCGAUGGCGAAGGCAGGUCUCUGGGCAGUAACUGACGCUGAGGAGCGAAAGCAUGGGUAGCGAACAGGAUUAGAUACCCUGGUAGUCCAUGCCGUAAACGGUGGGCGCUAGGUGUAGGGGGCUUCCACGUCUUCUGUGCCGUAGCUAACGCAUUAAGCGCCCCGCCUGGGGAGUACGCCGCAAGGCUA
rnacentral:rRNA from 1 species